AUUGCUUCUCGGCCUUUUGGCUAAGAUCAAGUGUAGUACAUUGUCACAUUCAUUGACCAUUUCCCCCAAUUAUACUUAUGAAUGAUUGUUUGUGUUCUACAAUCUCU
ensembl:snRNA U2l2 U2 spliceosomal RNA like 2